AUCACUUCAUGGCCUUUUAGCUAAGGUCACGUGGUGUAUCUGUGCUUAUCAGUUUAAUAUCUGAUACAUCCUCUGAGGACAAUGUAUUAAAUAGAUUUUUGGAACGAGGAAAUGGAACAGAAGCUUACUCCAUCCACUCCAUCCACUGACCUGGUAUUGCAGUACUUUUAGGAACAGUGCUCCCCCU
ensembl:snRNA U2 U2 spliceosomal RNA